UUUUAGUUANGUUAUAACGCUGGAUUAAGUGACACCUAAGUAGCAUUAAAUGAGAGACACAAUUAAAUGAAUUACAUAACUCCAGCAUAUCACAUUAUGACAUUUAGGCUAGUACUCUAACAUCAUUGGUGCUAUAUAGCAUUAUUCUUUUUUAAAUUCUAUUAUCAUUUGGAAUUUUGGAUACAAGUACGAAAAAUCACACCUGAUGGCUGGAAAAUAUGCCUAGCCUCAAAAAUAAUAAUUUUUAUACUCCGCUCAUCAAAAUACCACUUUCAUUUGCUGCAAACCAUGGACCCACCCAUCCAAAAAGAAAAACACUACCAGCUGUGGCCAAAGAUGUGUAAUGCAAUUGAAAAAAAAAAAAAAAAAUUGGAAAACAUGAGGCUCUUCAGAGAAGACCAAAGAUUGGAGAUUGGUUAAAACCUUAGCACUCACGGGAAAUAUAGAAUAAUCAGUUCCAUGGUUAGAGUUCAGUCUAUUGCAUCUUUUGUAUGUUGAUUUUUCCAACUGCCAUCCGCAAUAAACUCAUAUCCUUCACAUUCCAGUUUGGCGCCCUAUUAAAUGGCCUAUAACAUGCACAGUUCCUAUAUAUUCUGUGGAAGGUCAGUCCACAGAAACAACAAUCACUCUAUUCUUUUGAUUGGAUGAAUAUUCUAAUUCAGUAACAGCAACUUCAUAGGAUUAAGUUCUUUUAAACUUCUCAAGCUGCAUCUUCCAGACUCAAACCAGAUAAGGAAUGAGCCAGCUGGAUCAACUCACACAUGCCCUUAGAAAGAUUAAUAUCAUGAUUAUAUUGAGUUUUUUUUUUUUUUUUUUUUUUAAUUCCAUGUGUGUCCGCUGGAGUACUCUGUGCAACUUCACAGUAGCUUAAGUGUUUGCCUAGAAAUGAGUGAAGUCAAUUCCCAGUUAGUGCAGGCAACUUAGACAACUAUGCUGUAAACACAGAUAACUGAAAUAUGCCCUGAACUGGAGAGGAGGCUGGAGGAUGGCAGCCAUCAAAUAUAUGAGGCCAGUGCACACGAAUAAAUCAGUACGAAGGAGUGUGGAGCUUUAAAAAAGUCCCUAUAUAUAAGGUACAGGACAUGCCAUAAACCAGAGAAGAAGGUUUUUAGAGGUUCUACUCAAUGAAUCAUGAAA
rnacentral:lncRNA from 1 species